GACAGAGGGUGCAAACGUUGCUCGGAAUCACUGGGCGUAAAGGGCGUGUAGGCGGGAAUGUAAGUCGGGCGUGAAAUCCCUAGGCUCAACCUAGGAACUGCACUCGAAACUGCGUUUCUUGAGUACUGGAGAGGAAAGCGGAAUACCUGGUGUAGAGGUGAAAUUCGUAGAUAUCAGGUGGAACACCAGCGGCGAAGGCGGCUUUCUGGACAGUAACUGACGCUGAGACGCGAAAGCGUGGGGAGCAAACAGG
rnacentral:rRNA from 1 species